rnacentral:lncRNA from 1 species
GCCGAAUCUGUGACCUACACCACAGCUCACUGCAACGCUGGAUCCUUAACCCACUAAGCAAGGCCAGGGACCAAACCUGCGUCCUCAUGGAUCCUUGUCAGAUUUGUUUCCGCUGAACCACAAUGGGAACGCCUGUCCAGCACUUCUGAUUCCCGGUCCACAGAGGUGAAGGUGAAGGGUUGGGUUUGGUCAAGACAAGGAGCCCUUCCCUUGGAGCCUUUAGACGUGAUCCCGGUGGUCAGUGUUCUCGGCCAGGGCCGUGGGAGAGAGAAGGCACGAUUCCUUCUUCAGGCCUUGAAAACCUAGUCAGAGUUGGAAUGGAGGGAAAGGCUGGCGGUCGUGUUUGUGUUUUUCCGUGUGCGAGUUUGUGACGACUGUUACAACGAUGCACCAUGGACUGGGGGCUUAAACAAAGGAGAUUUAUUUCCUCACGGCUCUGGAGGCUGCACGUCCGAGAUCACGGAGUCGUCAGGGCUGGUUCCUCUGAGGCCUCACGCCCCGGCUGUGUCUCCACGUGGCCUCCCUCUGUGCGAGUCUCUGGCUCGUUUCUUCUUCUAAGGACGCCGGUCAUGUUGGCUUAGGGCCCACUUCCGCGACCUCAGUUUAACUUACUCUUCUCUUGCCUCUCUUUCCAAAUAGGUUCUGGGGUCUUGGAGGUUAGGGCUUCCAUUUCUGCGUUGAAAGGGGACGAGCUGUCCGGAUCCGGAAGGACUCCUCGAGGGUGAGGAGGAUAAGGACGGCGUUGCAUGCAAUUCGACGCCUCCAGAGCCUAGCGUAGAACCUGGCCCCAAGUCAAUGCUCAACCCUUUUGUUGAAUAAAUGUGCUUUGAUGCCUAAGGGGAAAACAGAAAACAAAAACAAAUCUGGUGUUUGCUUCUGUGCCUGCUGUACGCAACCCCAAACUGAACUCCAGAUUACGUGUUGAAAUUGUACAUACGGGAAGAGGAGGGUCAACAGGGAAAGGAGACAGACAGGCCAGAUGGGAAAGGUAUGCCUGUGCAUAACAAUAAUAGUAAUGGCAUAUGGCUUCUUGUUGUUCUCGCUCUAAUGCUCUUAAUCUAUGGCAGUUGCAAAAUGGGAAUAUGCUCGUGGAUGUAGUAUGAGUCUUGUUUCAUAAGCAGGACCAUGAAGGGGGGAGAAAACAGAAGCAUGUUCUCCGCCUGGGGGUCACUGUGCUCAGACAGCCCCCGGUGUGCGGGGUCGCUCGGGGCUUUAGGGCACCUCUCUGGCUUUUUCUUCUCCCCGUCUGGCCGGGCCUUCCAGUGGAGCCAGCUCUACAGAGUUUCUGGGCCAACCUGUGGCUGUCCCAUUUUUGGAAGCGCAAACUGUUUACCCAUUUGAAUUAAUUUUCCCCCCAGUAGAUAAACAGUAGGUGCAUAUAUGUUUAACAUAAUUUGUGAAGAACACUGAUGCCUACAUGAAAGAAGUGAAUCUUUUAUCCAUUUGGAUUUUUUUCCUUUAUUUACUCAUGCAUACAUUCCAUUUAUCACGAGCCUGCGUGCCAAGUACAGAGUGAGGCACCCUGCACCCAGAAGAUUUUCACUCCUUGUGCCAUUGUACCUACUCUUCCUUAACUUGGUUUCUCUCUCUGCAGAAGCAGGUCCUCCUUAUCAACUCUAACCUGAUCCUUCUAGAUUUUUCUGUGAAUGAGCUACACCUGGGAGCCUAUUAAAAAUGCAGAGAUUCCGGAGAUUCAGAUCCACUAGGAAUCUGGAUUUUUUGUUUUGUUUUGUUUUACAGCUGCACCUGUAGCAUUUGGAAGUUCCCAGGCUAGGGGUAGAAUGGGAGCUGUAGCUACUGGCCUAUGCCAUGGCCACAGUAACGCAGGAUCAUUUAACCCACUGAGUGAGGCCAGGAUUGAACCCUCAUCUUCAUGGAUACUAGUUGGAUUCUUAACCUGCUGAGCCACAAGGGGAACUGCCCCGGAAUCUGGAUUAUACAGAUCUUCCAAGAGGUUCUCAUGCAGGUGGUCCACUCUUUGAGCAACCCUGCUUCGGGGUUGGAAGGGUAGGUUGAGGUGCCGUCCAGACCUCAGCUACGUUGGCACAUUGCUCUUAGCACUGAAGGGUGCAGCCUGGGGAAAGAGUGUGCUGGAUGGGACCUGCGGGCUGUGCCAGUGGCGCUGGAGUAAGUGACUAUGGGUUGGUGAGAGGAGGGGGUAGGGAGAAGCAGAGGAGCCCCCCUCAGCUGGGCGGUCCCUUCCCUGCCACUUCCUCUGGGGUGUCUCAGGUUCCAGUGGCCAGAACACACAGUCCCCUUCACUUAAUCCCACGCCCCUCACUGGGGUUCAGAAUUCAGUGGUUUUCCUGGUAAUGGAAUUUGAUUUUCAGUUUGUGAAAAUAGAACCAGGUUGCUUGGCUCUUUGACUUGGUCCUUGGAGCAGCUUCCCAUCGGCUUAUACUACCUCGUCAGUGGGAGGAUCCGAGCUGUACCUGGCAUUCCCACAGCAGGUCUUUCUUUGCUGCUCUGAGAAGCCAUCGUUUUCGCACCCGUUAUUUCCAGCUUAAUUUACAGUGUUUGUUGUGGAGGGAAAUGGCCUUUGUUUAUUGUGCUGAGAGGUCUUUUGUUGAGGCGUCUGUGUUUAUAGAGAGAAUAUUCUAGCUCAGGUGGACAGUUAUUUUUAUCCUCGUCCUAUAUUGAAAACUAAAUGGAGAAAUAAACCCAUGGUAACUAAUAGGGAGCUGCACCACCUAUGGCAACUCAUUUCAGUAUAUAAAUUUGUUUUCUUUUACCUUCGACAUAAAAAUCGUUUGUAGGUCUCCCUUGGUAGUAUCCCAGACUGCAUGUCUGAUCUUUUAUGCGCCAGUCACUCCUGAAAAUACCCCUGCAAUUUCAAUGCUAUCUGGAGCAGUUACUGUCCAUGUUCUAUAUGAAGGUAUAAUGGAGAAAAGGAAUGAAUAUUAUGGCAAUUAUUACUAUGAGCUUUUAUUUUAAGCGGCGAAGCCCAGAUAUCUAUGGAGACACAAGUAUAUGAAACUGUAUUUUUUAUAGUCACAUCUAAACUGGGCAAUGAUAGCAUAUCAAUAAACUUCAAUUACACUCAAGAAAAUACUAAAAGUGAACCUCUAGUGAUACUCAAUAAAGCCGACAGGCGCAUUAGAGUUGUAUAGAGCAGUGACAUCCAUCUGCUAUUUUUCGGUGACUUCUAGUCAAUUACUACAUUUCAUCAUAUGUAAUCCUCUUUUAUCUCCAGUUCCUGCUGGUUCAGUAAUUCUCACUCUGCUACAUCUGUGGCUUUACUGUGAAUUUUUAUCGCCUACGAGUCAGUGCGUCCCUUUCUGCCCCCAGAUGCUGUUGAACUGUAUCUGUUUAAGAUUUAAUUGCAAGGUGGUAUAAAAUAUGUAUUUAGAGACACAUAGGAAAUAUGUAAAGCGAUUGGCAAUGUAUUAAAAAAAUGGGCAUGUCUUGAAAUAUUUUUCAGGCAAAGUAUGGAUUCCAUCAGUGCAUUGGACUUGGAGUUUGCAGUGUUGUUUUUAGAGAAUGAAAUGUAAACAAACAAACAAACAAAAACCAAAAACAAGCAAAAACAACCCUGUUCAGUGGUGAUCUUCUAGAAAGGAGAUUUUGUCCACAUGUUUUAUUUAGGUGUGUGAAAUAUUGUAUAUAUGUAUUUCUCACAGUCUGGAGGCUGGAAGUCUGAGACCAGGGAGCCAGCAUGGUCAGGUUCCGGUGAGAGCACUCCUCUAGGUUUCAGACUGCUGACUUCUCUUGUAUCCUCAUGUGAUGGAGAACAGAGAAGGAAGCAAGCUUUCUUGUGACUCCCCCCACUUUUUUUUUGGCCAGCUGUAAAAGUUCCCGAGCCAGGGAUUGAACCCACGCCACAGCAGCAAUCCAAGCCUCUGCAGUGACAAGGCCAGAUCCUUAAUUUGCUGCACCGCAAGGGAGCUCCCUCUGGUGAUUCUUCUAAGGGCAAUAAUUCUCUGCAUGAGGCCUCGACCCACAUGACUUCAUCCAACCCUAACUACCUCCCCAAGCCCCUGCCUCCUGAUACUAUCACGUCAACAUAUGAAUUGUGAGGGGACACCAAAUAAACUGCCAAACCAACUUCCAAAGUGACUGUACCAUUUUGAAUUUCUACCAGGAACGAGUGACAGUUCCUAUUGCUUCACAUCUUCCUCAGCAUUUGGUGGUAUCAGGUGUUUUGGGGAAGUUAGCCAUUGUACUAGAUAUAUAAAAUAGUAUCCUCAAAGGUUCUAGUCAUUUUCAUAGCCUCAUUGGCCUCAUUCCAAUAUUGGAAUGAAUGAAUCAAUUAAAUAGAACAAGAAAAUAUGAUUUAAAAAUUUAUGUCUUGGAGGUUUCUCUGUUAUUCAAGCAGGAGUAUUUGGAACAGGAAUUGCAAUUGGAAAGGGAUUGCAAGUGCAAAUGCCUAACAAAGUGAAACAGACUAAAUGUAAGGACAAUAGGGAAUGGUGGGGACUGUGGUAGUGUGGAGCCAGCAAGAGAAUCAGUGAACCCAGUAUCACCAGAUUUUCCAAAUUUUUAGGUCACCCCAUAAAAUCGUUGGAAACCCUUUUAGUAAUCAACUAAAAAUUUAAAAAACUAGUGCUCUUAUAAGGGCACUAAUUCCCUACAUGAGGACUUUACCCACAAGACCUCAUCUAAUCCUAACUACCUCCCCAAGCCCCCAUGUCCUGAUACUAUCACACUGAUGGGCUUGGGUUUCAGCAUAUGAAUUGUGUCAAAUUAGUGCCCUUAUAAGAGCACCGAAAUGUUUAAAAAUGGCAAGGCGUUUGCCCUUGCCACCCCUUUCCAAAUUUGUGGGAUUAGAUAAUACAUGUUGGUAGGACAGAUUUGAACAGUGAAGUACCAGUUUUUAACCUGUGUGCUUUGUGUCAGGUGGUGUGGCAUCAAGACAGCAUGUCCUUAAAUGGCCUAAGAUUUUAGUCAUUAUUUGAUUAUUAUUUGUUAUUUGAGAGUAUUUUGAUUAUUUGAGUUAAUCAAAAUGAACUUGGAAUAUAGGGGACAGAAGAGGAGAAGAAAAAUCAAUGUGAAGAUGUCAGUACUCGAAGGGCAGCUGGAAACUGGGACUUGAUGCCCAGUUUACAAGAUUACGUGAGGGAAUAGUGCUUAAUGGUUAAUUAUUUGAACUUUCAUUAGUGUGAGAACUCUGAGUUAGGAGGUCUCUUGGAUCAAUCAGUUUCAUCUUAAGAAUCUUUCUCUCUCCACAGUGGGGUUCUGUAGGGGAAAAUACUCGGACACACCACCAAGGUGGGGCCAGCCACAUCACUGACCUAUUUUGUUUAUUUUCUUCCUGCACUUUUCUGCCCCGGGAGAUACAUAAAAUGGGAGCACAUGUUAUAAUUUAUAGGGAUAGAAGAAAUUCUUUGUCAUAUACAGAAAUUUAGUAAAUAUUUAUGAACUUUCUGCUUCUUAAUAUAAGGGUGUGAAAAUAACGUAGCUCCUGAUUGCACACUGGUCAUCGCUGGAAGUCUGCAGAAGACGAGAAACUCGAAGCCCUAAAUAAGGUCUCUGCUUGAUGCACAGAAACGGUCCUGUUGAAUUUUCUCCCCUUUUUGACAUGCCGACUCCCUUCUGUUUCAUUACCAUUCCAAGAAACCCUGAAGCUGUGAUUCACAGAACCAAUGCAUUCUCUAAUCAGAGACAAUGUGAUACACGGUAGUCCUGCCUGGGAUGGACAACAAGCGAGAAAAACACCCCCCUCUCUAAUUUUAAUUAGAAUUAGGAGGCUCCCCAGGCCUUGCUCAGUUAGCGAGAGCACCCCGCAGGAGUCAUGUUCAGACCCUCCCACAGGCCUGUUAAUUUUACUUAGUUCAGUGGCCACAGCUUGUGCCUCCAGCUCUGCACAGUCAUCUGGAGAACAUGUCCCCUUCAUCAUUAAGGAAACAGAAUGUCUGAGCACGGAUGCUUCACCACUUCUGCAAAACAACUUCAAGUGCAAGAAGCCCUAUUGAUGACUGUGGUCAGUACCGUUAUCUCGACAGCCAAAGAAGAGAACAUUGUAGGGAAAAAUCUCACCUAUUAGCUGUGUGCUAAUGGACUUGGACCUUUCAGAGCCUCAGCUUUCCUAUCAGGAGGCUGGCAGUUAGGGUUUAUGAUACCAUGUCUGUGAAAGCCCUCAAAGCACGAAGAGGGAGGGACACACAUCCGAAGCAGGGUGGUCACUUAGGGCCUCUCUCUAUGGAAAAUAAUCUCUGGUCAUGGCAGUAGCUUUAGAUGGAAAAUCUUGGUAAGUGUAACUAUUAAACCUUAUUUGUUAAAAUGCAAAAAGGAGGAAAUUCUGCAUUCUGUUUAUUUCAAGAAAUAAUAUUUUGAUCUCAUUCUAGCUCAGUGACAUAAACAAGGGGAGAUGUUCAAAAUCUCACUUUGAACAGAAGUCCAUGCUUAUCUAUUAAUUCUCCC